UUUUUUUUUUGUAUCAGUUAUGAAGUUGUUUAAUAAGUUUCAUAUAUAUUUAGUAGUGGUAGACUGAAACUUAGUGAAGCAUUAUUCUAUGUGUUGGUCAUAUAAGAUUGGCAUAGCUUUUGAAAAGUAAAUCAAGAAAAGGAUAAAAAUAAAUUAGCCUUGAAAAUUCAUGUCAAUUAUCAACGUACAAUUCAAAUUAGAUAAGUUCCAAUCUUUUAAAGAAAAGGAUUAUUAAUACUGUCACUUUACUUUAAAUUGAUAUUUGACAGGACGUGAAUAAAAACUUGUUCAUAUAGAUUUUUUUUUUAACUGUAGUUAACUAGCCUUAUUUCUUUUUUAAUUCAAAGUUGAAUUCAAGAAAAUUCGGCCAAUCAUUUAAUGCUUGGUACUACUGGUUCAUUAAAGCUGCAUUUGGAUUGAGAAAUUUAACAAAGGAUUUGAAAUCCUCUAAAAUCUCUCUAGUUGUUUAGAUUAAUUAAAAGGUAUUUGGAUUUGUAAAUCACUAAUUAUUUUGUUUAAAAUGUAGUUAUGUAAUUGAUGAAUUACAAAUCCAAAUACCUUUUAAGCAAUCCAAACAACUAGAGCGAUUUGGAUGAAUUUCAAAUCCUUCAUCAAAUCCUUGAAUCCAAACAAAACCUACAAUUUUAUGGAAGUCAUUAUAAAGAUGCUUCAUAGCAAACUUAAAGUUUGUAAAAAGAGAAAAACAUGAAGAAAUAUGUAAAAUGCUGAAAGUUCUACCUAAGUAAAGUUAGUGAGUUUUUUGCUAAAAUAACACUCUUUCUAAAAAAUAUUUUCAAUAUGAUUCACUUUCAAAUUUUAUUCCCAUAAUGAUGUUAUUAUUGCCACCUUAUUAUCCUGAUUGCCACGUAGGAUAACAAGAAAGGAAAGUUUUGAUCUAGUUUAUAGUUUCCAACAAGAGUUAAAAUUUUUAAUUUUUUUUAAUCAUAGAGACACAAUAAGAUUGCAUAACUUUGAUAAUUUUCUUAUAAUUAUUUAAAACAAAUUCUACCAUUAUUGACCUUACUAUGAUUGGUCUCUACAUUUUUCUUGAAAUGAAUCAAACCUAUUGCAUAUAUUUUUUUCAAAAAUUAAAUUUGAAAAAUUCAAAAAUUGCAACAAAAAUUGUAAGUAAUAACAAGAAAAAGUUACAAAAACUUCAAGGUUAUCAUAUUUGUUUAUAUUAUCCUUCUUACUCUUUGAAAAAAAACUUUUACAAGAUGUAAUAAAACUGAAAUUUUCAAGUUUUCAAUUGCAAACUAAAAACUGCUAGAUUAUUUUCUCCUAGACUUUUUAUCAAACACACGGUGUGAGAAAUCAUUUGUUAGACAAUUAAUAUUCAAAAAAUUUUUGAACGCCAUAGCAAUGUUCCAAAAAUUGCACAAUAGAAAAGAUAAGAGAAUAAUCUUUGUUUAUCUUGAUAUUAUCAAGGAUGAUAAUGAAUUUUUAUAUACUGUUAAUAUAAAUAUUGACUUCUCAAAAUUACGUUUGACAAGGAAAAGGCAAUGAAAGGAAAAAAACACAGGAGAGAGAGAAUCAGGAGAGAAACGAAGAACUCUUUAAAGGUACUAUUAAGCCCCGUGUUGAAGCAGCAGAGGAAGAGAUUCUUUCGUGGUUGCUUUGCCGAAGCAGAGGCGAGGUCGGUCGUUAAGAAGAGAAGAGAAGAGGAGAGAAGGUAAGGUAUUCAAUUAAGAUGUCAUGCGUUAAGAGGAAAUUCAUUCCUUGGUUUUCCACUUGAACCAGGACUGGGCGUUCUAAGCUUUCGGGUAAAGGGACUCAGAUCGAGGGGCUAAGGAUUCUUUUUGUUGUAAUCCCUUAUCGCAAGGGCCAUUGACUUCUUCCUUCAGGAAGUCCAGUUCUUCACAGGCCUGUCUUAUGAGCCCUUUCAAUUCUUUAGCGAGUGGUUGAGUUUCCGCCCCUUACCCUCACUUUAUGAAAGAGACCCUGAUCUCUCGCUAGACCUCAAAGUAGAAAGAAGGAUUAGGCCUUCAAGGAAAUGGAGAUAGAGUUGUUAGAAGGGUCUUCCUUAGUUGAAGGAUAGGUAACUGCUGGUUUUGAAAGCCUGAGGAGGAUCCAGUGCAAAAUCAAGAUCAGUCCAUUUAGUGGACUUGAAACUAGAGAAGGAAAGAAGGAAUUAGAGUAAGCGGAAAGGGGAUCUUAAGUUAAACCCGCCAAUCCCUUUUUACUGGCCUGCCAUGUAUGAGGCAAAACUGCUAACCCGUAAGCUAGUAAGUCACAGUCACCAGGGGAGCUCUUCAGUUGGCGCCGUCUAUGGGAACGAAGGUACGAGUAGUUGUGUUGAUGGCGAGAACGCGUUCAAAGCGAACUGUGGAGAACACCGACCCCGGAGCCGGCGAGGGGUCCCGGCGAGUGGAGACCGAGGCGGCUCGGGGCGCCAGGGGCUCAGCCCUUUCAGGGGAACGGAGACAGCAGAUUUUUCAGUUCGUGACGGAGAACCUUCCCAUGCUAGAAGACAUAAUUCGGCAAGCAAAGGAGGGGGUGAAGCCGAGGGCGUCCAAACCUCCAAGGCGAAGGGGAAGGAGAGGGAAUCACCUCCCGCUCCUUCGGAGGAUGAGUCACGGGACCAGCCCUCCAGGAAGAAACGGCCACGGACUCCCCCUCGGCCGCGGGCCUCGGUGGUCGGGGAUAGUGAGGGGUACUCUCGCGAUCGGUCCGCUGGGGGCCGACCGAGAAAUCCCUCCUCGUGGAAGCUUGCGCGGAAGGAGCCUGAGCGCUCCCCCGUCCGAUCUAUCAAGAGCCGGCCGCGAGACCACCCCCAGUGGAACCCUGUCCGGGACGAGUUUGAGCAGAUCUUGCGGCCGCAGUUGUACGAGGACAACUAAACCACCUCGCCCUUUACCCGGGAGAUAGAGGACUACCCACUACCCCGGAGGUUCAAGAUCCUGAAUAUCGAGCUGUACGACGGCUCGACCGACCCGGAAGAUCACAUUUCGGUCUUCCUGACGCAUAUGCGCGCCUGCAAACCGCUGCGGAUGGGGUCCGCUGCAAAACCUUCCCCAUGUUCCUAAAGGGGAAGGCCCGGCUCUAGUUCCAAGGUCUGGCACCGGGGUCCAUCCGGAACUUCCCCGAGCUGGCCAGGCAGUUCGCCGUCCAGUUCGUCUCCUCGAAGACUUUACUCGAAAAAUGCGACUCACCUGAUGGCAAUCAGGCAGAAGCCGGACGAGUCCCUGAGGAACUUCAUGACCCGCUUCAACACGGAGAGCUUGCAGAUCAGGGACAAGGAUGAAAAUGUGGUCAUGGCCGCCAUCAUGAACGAGCUCAGGGUGGAAGAGCUCUUUCUCAAGCUCGCCGAGAAGCCUCCCGGAGACCUGGAAGAGCUCUUGACUAGGGCACACGCAGCCGCUAAUGCGGAGGAGGCUGCUCGCCUGAAGAGAGAGUCAGAUCGGGAGAUCGAAGAUAGGAGAGGAUGGGUAAACCCGCCCGGGAAUAAGGACGGCCCGGCCAAGAAGAAUGUUUUCGACCGGCUCUCAAAGGAUAAGGCCCCCGGUCAACCGCCGCUUCCAGAAAAAGGCUACAACCCCCUAACUCGGCCCAGAGCCCAAGUUCUGGCCGUUAUGGAGGUGGAGGGCCUAGUGGGGUGGCCGCCUAAGAUGGGGACACCCCGGAACAAGAGGAACCAGGACCGGUACUGUGCCUUCCACCGUGAUGUCGGGCAUGAUACGGAGGGGUGCCGGGCCCUGCGAAAGGAGAUAGAGGAUCUGAUCCAGCACGGCUUCUUGGGGCGAUUCGUGCAGCAAGGUCGACCAGGCCAGGAGCCUGGACGCACCUACCGCGGAGACAGGGGCGAGGGCCAGCUUCGUGGCCGCCCUGAGCGGCGUGACGUCCCUUGGGACCAUUCCCCCGACCAGGACACCCAGAACUUGACAGGGGUAAUAAACACAAUCGCUGGGGGCCCCACGGGAGGGGACAGCCAUGCGGCCCGGAAGAACAGGCGACUUCUUUCGGAGGGGAAUGACUCCUUGAAGCGCCUGCGUAUGGACGAAGAGAUCACCUUCGGACCAAGGGACGCGGUUCCUCUGGCGUCUGGAAACCACGAGGCCAUCGUGAUAGACGUCGUGACCAAUAACUACCGGGUGAAGAAAGUGUACGUCGACCAGGGGAGCGCGGUGGACAUCCUGUUUUACCGGGUGUUCAAGGAGCUCGGAUUGGAGGACGGACAGCUAACCCCGGUUCGGACACCCCUUGUGGGUUUCACCGGACCGCCCAUCACUCCGGAGGGGAUGAUCACCCUGAUGGUUACGGUAGGGCAGGCGCCCAAAUGCCGGACUAUCCCCGUCAACUUCGUGGUGGUCAAACAACAAUCCCCGUACAACGUGUUCUUGGGACGGCCCGCCUUGAAUGCCUUUCGAGCUAUCCCCUCGUCUCUCCACCUCAGCGUCAAAUUUUCCACCCCGGGAGGAAUAGCUGAGGUGCAUGGGGAUCCAGAGGUGGCCAGAACUUGCUACUUGGCCGUGCUCUGGGGACAUGAGAAGGUGAUCGCCCAGACGACCACUUUAGAGCCUUACAUCCCGGGGGAAGAGGCCCGGCAGCUGGGCACCCAGGACCAGAUCGAGGAGUUCCCAUUGAGAGAGGACAGGCCUGACCAGGUCCUCCGCGACGGUGCGUCGCUACCCCCCGAAGAGAAGGAGGGCUUGAAGGCCCUACUAAGGGAGUACGCCCAGGUCUUCGCGUGGACGGUGGAGGACAUGCCUGGGAUUCUGACUGAUCUGGCCGUCCACCACCUCAACGUAGACCCCCGCUUCAAGCCAGUGAAGCAGAAGAAGAGGAGUUUCGUCCCAGAGAGGAAUGAGGUGAUCAGGAAGGAGGUCAGCAAGUUGUUGAAAUCCAAAAUCAUCUUGGAGGUGUACUAACCGACCUGGUUAGCCAACCCCGUCCUGGUAAAGAAGGAGGACCAGUCCUGGAGGAUGUGCGUGGACUUUACAGAUCUCAAUAAAGCCUGCCCGAAGGACUGCUUCCCUUUGCCGAUGAUCGACAGGUUAGUAGACUCUACUGUUGAUUUUGACGUUUUGUGUUUCCUGGUUGCUUUCAAGGGAUACCACCAGAUAGAGAUGGCCGAAAAAGACCGAGAGAAGGCCUCCUUUAUCACCGAGGAAGGAACUUACUGCUACCGGACCAUGCCGUUUGGGCUAAAGAACGCCGGAGCUACCUACCAACGUCUGGUCAACAAACUAUUCCAGAAUCAGAACGGCAAGAGUAUGGAGGUCUACGUGGAUGAUAUGAUUGUCAAGAGCCGAACUGAUCGGCAGCUCGUCCCCGACCUUAGGGAAAUCCUGAACAUUCUAUUGAAAAGCCGGAUGCGGCUGAACCCAAAGAAAUGUACCUUCGGGGUUAGGUCGGGAAAGUUCCUGGACUUCCUGGUCUCCCGAGAGGGGAUCCGAGCCAACCCGGAUAAGUUUCAGGCCAUCAUAGACAUGGCCCCCCCGAGGAGCGUCAAGGAGGUCCAACGGCUCGCGGGCAGGAUGGUCGUCCUGAACAGAUUCCUCUCGCGCUCCGCGGUAAGGGGGCUGCCCUUCUUCCGAAUCCUGAAAGCACCAAAGGACUUCCAAUGGACGGAGGAGUGCCAGACAGCCUUCAUCGACCUAAAAGCAUACUUGGCCGAGCUUCCUGCUCUGACUGCCCCGGAGCAAGGAGAGACCCUGUUCCUAUACUUGUCUGCUUGCAACGAGGUCGUUAGCGCGAUUUUGGUGCGGGAGGACAAGGGGGUUCAACGGCCAAUAUACUACGUUAGCCGAGCUUUACAAGGGCCGGAGACGCAUUACACGCCGGCGAAAAAAUUGGUCCUCGCCUUGGUGCACGCCGCUCGGAAGCACCGACCUUACUUUCAGGCCCACAGCAUUACCGUCCUGACAGAUCAACCCUUACGGCAGAUACUCACAAAAUCCGAGGUCUCGGGCAGAAUGACCAAAUGGGCCGUCGAACUGGCCGAGCACGACAUCGGCUAUCAGCCUCGCACCGCUAUCAAAGCUCAGUCCCUGGCAGACUUCCUCGUCGAAGGAGCCAAGCUGUCCGUAACCGAGCCGAGCUCUGUGCCCGAGGAGGCGCGGCCGGAAGAGCCGUGGGUACUAUUCGUAGACGGGGCCUCAAGUAAGGAAGGGAGCGGAGCUGGCUUGCUGCUCACUUUGCCCACCGGGGAGGAACUGACCUACGGUCUCAGAUUUGACUUCCCAGCGUCCAACAAUGAGGCUGAGUACGAGGCGCUAUUGACAGGAUUGUGGAUAACCCACCAGAUGGGUGUAACCGCGAUCAGAGUCCGGAGCGAUUCUCAACUCGUAGACUACCAAGUCCGCGGGGAGUACGAGGCCAAGGAAGAUGUCAUGAAAAGAUAUUUGGCUAAGGUGCAGGAGGCGAUAAAGUUGUUCGACCUCUUUGAGAUCGAGCGGGUGUCAAGGUCACAAAACAAGCGAGCGGUGCAAAAGAGCAUUGGCAAGGUCCAGGUUCUGGCUAUAGACAGCCCGGCCACCUGGAUGACUCCCCUCGUGGACUUCCUCAGCUCGGGUGGCCUUCCAGUGAACAAGACCAAGGCUCGCCGACUCCACCUCAAGGCUGCAAGGUACGCCUACGCCGGGGGGACCCUCUACAGGAGGUCAUACUUGUCCUCCUGACUAAAGUGUGUAACUCCCGAGGAGGGUGACUAUGUCCUCCGAGAGGUUCACGAAGGCCUGUGCGCGGCACAUGGGGGGUCCUGGGUGUUGACCAAAAAAUGCCUGCUCCUAGCCUACUACUGGCCCUCGGUGUUUCGGGAUGCCGCAACUCUUAUUCAGAAAUGCCGGGCCUGCCAGGUGCACGCCCCGCUGCGCCACCAACCUACUCGGGAGAUGAUCCCUAUCCACAGUCCUUGGCCCUUUGCCCAGUGGGAGAUAGACCUCUUGGGUCCCUUCCCUCGAGCUCCUGGAAGGUACGAACACCUCGUGGUGGCCAUCGACUAUUUCACAAAGUGGAUGGAGGCCGAACCCCUGGCCACUAUUUCCGGAAGGGAGAUUCAGAAGUUCUUCUGGAAGAACAUAGUCUGCCGCUUCAGGAUCCCGCAUGUCUUGAUAUCCUACAACGGGCGACAGUUUGUUGAAAAUCCUUUCAGGAGCUGGUGCGCCGAGCUCGGGAUUAGCCAACAUUUCACCUCGGUCGGACAUCCCCAAGCCAACGGUCAGGUAGAGAAUGCUAAUCGAACCAUUCUGCAAGGGCUUAAGACUAGGUUGGAACUAGCCCAGUCUAACUGGCUAGAUGAACUCCCUAGCGUCCUCUGGGCUUACCGCACUACGCCAAGGACAGCUACUCAUGAGAACCCGUUCUCCCUGACUUACGGGGCGAAGGUGGUGGUGCCCGCGGAGGUCGGUCUCCCCUCGCCUCGGACACAGAACUUCGUGGCGUCAGCCAACGAAGAAGAACUGAGGUGCAACUUGGACAUGCUGGAGGCUAAGCGUGAGGAAGCGACGAUACGGAUGGCUAAGUAUAAAAGCCAACUCGCCCGCUAUCAUAACGCGAGGGUGAGGAAUAUGCAGUUCCAACCGGGAGAUCUCGUCCUAAGAAAGAACUCAGUCAGCCGAGCUCAUAACUCCAACAAGCUUGGUCCGAACUGGGAGGGGCCGUACAAGGUCCUCGAGGCAAGCCGGGCUGGGUACUGUAAGCUUGCCAAAUUAGACGGUGUAGAGGUACCCCGCCCUUGGCACUUCUCGAAUUUGCGAUUGUUCGUAGGAUAGGUUGGUCCGGAGUAUCUUAUUGUAUUCUUUGGAAUUUUCGUACCAGUUCAUCAUUAAAUAAAUGCUUAGUUUUCACGUUUUAAGUCCCUUCUCAUUAUCAAUGUCGUUUAACUUUUCACUUCUACACUAGCACACUCAGAUAAUGCUAAGUGUCCUAGUGGGGGGCCCUGAGAGAUCGACGCUCGACCUAGGAGGUCGGCAGGGCUGUCUUUAGAAUUUUGCCGCUCGUUCCAAGAGGUCGGCGCAGUUUAAAAAGAGCCUUAGGGUCCGGUGCUCGACCCAGGCAAAUUGGAAUUUGGUUGUUAGUUUAGCUUGGUCGUCUGAUGGGACCCCAGUUUGUCGUCCUUUGGCAAAUUGGUUGUUGGCUUACAGUUAGGCAGGUGCUCGACCCAAGAGGCCGGCACGCUGCUUCAGUAAAUCAGGUUUGACGGUCGAUUCAGGAGGUCGGCAUAACUUAAAGCCUAGAGGUUUGAUGUUCGGCCCAAGAGGUCGGCGCGUCACUCCGGUUAUUAGAAUUCAAUUGCUAAAUCAGCCUGAUUGUUUGAUGGUUUGGUGUCCCUGACAACUUAGCCGUUAGCUUAAAGGGCGAUAGAUUCUCGACCCAAGAGGUCGGCACGCCGCCUUGGUGGAUCUAUUUGGUGCUCGACCCGGGAGAUCGGUGUUCCUCUUCGGUUACUAGAGUUCGCCGCUAACUAGGAAUUGAAGGUCAAAGCAGAUAGUUUCAUUCAAACUUCAUCUCAUAUAUGCAUUCAGACCCUAUCUAUUACAAAGCCUACCGAGCUAUACAAGGAAAGGAAAACCUAGCUAUGCCUUCUUCUUGCUGGCGACCUGCUUGAGGCGGGAGCUGAAAGUACACCUUAAGCAUGUUGAGAGGCGUAUGGAGAAGGCUGUUAAAAAGGAUCUGUGGAGAUCAUGAACUGCGGGGCAUGGCCACAUCCUUAUAAGAGGAUGGAAAGGGUUUCUGGAGUGGCCUCUGCCCUAAGCCACUGGCUCCUUCCCAGAAGCCCUGCCAGGGGUCUCCUCCUCCUCCAGGGGGAGCUCCGCCAGCUCGGCCCCUACAUCGCUCCUACCCGUCAGAUCUUUCAGAGCAUGCCCUUUGCAGUACCCAUCGAAGAGCCAGUCCAGCUUCCCCUCGGCUGCGGGGUUGUAGUCCCUGAAAUCAGCCAAGUUGAAGCCGGGUAGGUUGAGGCCCUUCACCUGGUCCAGGGCCCGCGUGACGCCGACCUGAAGGAUGGGCUGGUUGAGGAGGGCCACGUCCUCUGCGAACUGCUCAGAGGAGAUGAACUCCCGAACAGCCUUGGCUGACGGUGCCGGAGAGCUCAAUGGCUUGGUCCUCCCUCAAUUUCGCCAUGCCCUUCUUCUCCUGGUCCAGCUCGGACCGGGUGGCGGCGAGCUGGACUUGGGCCUCCUCCAACCCCUUCUCGGCCUUACCCAGUUUGGCCUUAAGGGAGUCCGCCCCCUUAAGGGCCUGGGCAAGCUUCUGCUCGGUCUCCCGAUGCUUCUUCUGCAACUUCUCCAAAUCGGGAGACAGCUCGGAGAAGCGGGUCACCAGGGCAGCAUCGACGGCAUUGGCCUGAGGAAAGGAAAGUAAGAGUAAGCACAAUACCAACUCCAUCAAGGGAAAGAGAAGGGGCCCAAGGGGCCUAAGCGGGAGAGGGCUUACUUGGGUCUGGGUGGUGUAGUACAUGUCCUGGAGCUCGAACGGGCUGGCCAGCUCCAUCCACCUCCUAUCGCGUAGAAGGACUGAGCCCGUGACCAACUCGCGAGCCACUUCGGGGAACUGGGCUCGGUCGUUGAUGGCGAGCUCCCAGGACGGGCAGAAGUGGCGGGGGUCGUGCAUGGUGGGGGCUUGCCCCGGCUUCGUGGGGGCCACGUGGCGGAAGUGCCAUAAGCUCGGGGGAGCGCUCUCCCGAGCGUGCUCCUCCGCGGAGCCAACCCCCAGGUGGACAAGGCCCCCCGACGUCAACAGGAGAGGGCGCUGUGCUGGGGCUGGCGUCGGCUUCUUCCCGGACUGGGAAGGCUCGUCCUCUCGACCCCUCUUCUGCCCUGGCCCCUUCUUUUUGCCGGCGGCCUGCUUGGAGGGGGAUUGAGACUGGGAGGCCUCCUUCUGGGGGGCCGAGCUGCCCCCAGGAGUCGGAGAGGUCUCGGAGGCCUUUUUCGCCGCCUCAGGCUGCGUGGUGGGAGCGACCUCCUCGAUUGGCGCGCCCAGUAGCCUGGAGAGCUUCCUCACUGCGACAAGCAUAUCCAGGUCAGCCAAAACAGGUCAGUAGGGAAAAAUACAAUAUAUAUGUAAAUACAACGAGCUACAGGGACAGAGUCGGCGUUACAGGCUUCGAGGUUGGUAGGGGAGGCCACCACCUCUCCAAGGGACCCUGACAACGUCUCCAUCAGCCCGGCCGCAGAGAUCUGCUUGGUGGAGAACUUGGCGGCAAAGAGUUUCACCUUGGAGCUCAUCAGUUGGCCGAGGGCCUCGGGGUCCAGAUCCUCUGGAUAGGGGUCGGAGUCGACCUCCCCGACUUUCCACAUGUUCGGGGGAAAGCUCGUGGAUUUUACAAAGAGGAAGUCCCCCUUCCAGUUUUUUAUGGAAGAAGGGACCCCAUAGAGUAGAUCCUGGGUACCCUUCCCCUCCCGAACUUGGCCAGCCCCUCGGCCGGAGAAGUAGUACCACCCAGGGAGGGAGAGCUUGAGGAUGUAAAAGGCCCGGAAGAGGGAAAUUGAGUAGGGGAUGGAGCAGAUUUGGCAGUAGAUCAGGAAUCCAAUGAUGAUCCUGAUCGAGUUGGGGUGGACCUGGGUGAUCCGGAGCCCCCAGUAGCUCAGGAUCUCCGUCAGGGCUGGAGGAAUGGGGAGCCGGAGCCCAGCGAGCAGCUGCUCCCUGUAGAUGGCUACAAAGCCAGGGGGAGGUCGGCAGGCUCGAUCGUUGGGCCCGGCGGCUCGAAGGCCGGAGGGAUGAAAAAAGACCCGGCCAGCUCGGCCACCGCCCCGGGUGAGAGGGUGAUCUCCUGCCGGUCGGGGUGACCGUAGUUGAACUCAGAAUCAUCCCCCUGCUCGGAAGCAGGGGUCCCCUCGGAGGAGUCCCUGUCCUCCCCAGCUCCCCCUUGGGCUCCGUCAGGGGAGUCGUGUGGAGACUUGGGGGAGGGGAUAGAAGUGGCUUGCUGCUCGAUAAGGGCAUCAAGCUCGCCCACCUCCUCCAGGAGUCGGGCAGAAGGAGAAUGGGCAGAUGGAGAGCUCAUGAUGUCAAUGGGCUCGAACAGGUCAGGAAUGAGGAAGUUGGGAUUAGAAGCAGAGGAAGAAGAGAGAGGGGGAGGAGAAGAUGAAGAUGAAGAUGAAGAUGAGGACGAAGAUGAAGAAGAAAUGAGGAUUCUGGGGGCUCUACGACGGGCCGGAACUUGGGAUGCGGUGGAAGUAACGUCGGAGCGAUCCGAUAUAAAAUGCAGAAGGUGGCAAAGGAGGAAAAGAAAAUGCGGGGAAAAAGAACUUACUGAUGAUCGGAGGGGAAAAAAGAUGAAGGAACCGCCGGAAUCUGGGUACUGAUGGCCGGAAGUCUUGCAGAGAGAACCUUUGGGAGUAGAGGAAAUGCGUGAAGAAGGGAAAAUGGCAAAUAGAGUUUGAGAGAGUCUGAUAAUCCCUAUUUAUUGGGAGCAAAAUGGGGGGGGGGGAAACGGCUGCUUGAAUUCGAACCGCCCCAUGUGAACGCAUUUAAGAGCGGUACGGAAACCGAGGAGACGCGACAACUGAAGGGACGCGGGCGCAGCUUUUCAAUGACAGCACUGUACCGGAGAUGACCGCGGCAGUACGAGGCGACGCUGGGCUCCCACGUGACAAGGAUGUAGAUCAGGUCUGCCUGGAAGCCCUACCUAAUCUAGGGGGCUAGUGCAGAGGCCCCGUCCUGGGCCCACACACGUGGCAGCCCAGGGAGGCCUGAGCUGGGUUUAGACCCUCAGACCCAUGGGAACCGUCCCGCGGCCCCCCGCCGCUAGGGCUCCAAGGGGCUCCAGAGAACAGUCCCACAAAGGUCGGGAUUGCUCCCCCUCAGUGCGGGAUUGAGGCUAUUCUGGGCAGGUCCCGCAACGUACGGAGGUCGGGCUCCUAAACAGGUAUAAAUGGUAACGCACACCGGCUGCGCAAGGUACGUUGACUAUUGGACAAUUACCCCCGACCAUUUUUACUUCCCGUGGAUUUCACUCAUCGAAAAACUAACUUGACCGUCGGAGUGCCCUCGGGGACGUUCUCGGGGCUCCCCCAUUGGAUUACUUUCUUGUUCGUUUUUCAGGCUUAGGACGCGCUCUUCUCAUCAGGAAAAAUAUUAGAUGGAAAAAAGAAAUAAAGUGUGCCUCUAUCUCUGUCCUGGCACAUGUGCAACGUAUGUGGCAAUAAACUCUAAAGUUAGAUAUGACAAUAUUAUUUGAGUAGACAAAUCAAUUUGAAGCAUAAGAAAAAAAAAUUCUCCUCAGUGGAGUUAAAUGCAUUAGUGAUUAUUCUUUUUCAUUUGAUGAGCUGCAUAAUUAUGAUACUGAUCGUACUCAUCAAAACUUUUAGAUAAAGCGUUGGGAACACAUACAUACAUGUCCUACUCGUCAAAAACUUUAAGCUAAUUCUCUGGGAAUGCACAUAUAUACAGUCACAGUAUAUCUGACAUGUAUUUAAGGUGCUGACUUGAAGGUAAAAAAAAAAGACUCAAAUUUGAUGUAAUUUUGUAAGAGAUUGGAUUGCCAAUAAGGACGCAAAAGAGUCAAAGUUUAAUUUAGUUUUAGAUCAUGCACACACAAAACUGAGGCUCGAAUAGGGUUAAUGAGCUGUCAACCUCAAAUGUAAAGCUCAAGUUUUGAGUUAGUCAAGCUAUGCAAACUUAGCUCAUUCUCAAGCUUUGACACGAGAGCUUGCAAAUACAUCCAUUGAGAUUAAUUUAAGACAAAUAAAGUUGUGCAACACUCGAAUCAAACAAGACUUAGUAAGGACUCACUUGAGCUUUGGUUAUCAAAUCAAACAUAGAAAACAACAAAGUGUUUAUUGAAGUUUCAAGCUUGCCUUGAUUAAUAUGAAACAUGAAACUUACACAAGUUUCAAAUUACUCCCAACUUAAUUUCGAUUAAGACUCUUAUGAAUUCAGCUCAAGAGCUAAACAAGCUAUUUUGAACUGGUAAAAAUAAACAGCAAACUGAAAUGCUAGAGCUCUGACUUGAUUUGGCUUGUUUAGACCCCUAUUCAAAACUCUCUGCAUU
rnacentral:lncRNA from 1 species